UAUAUACUCCCUCCGUCCGAAAAAGUUAUCCCAAGCUUGUCCCUCAAAUGGAUGUAUCUAGCACUAACUUGGUUCUAGAUACAUCGGAGGGACAAGCUUUUUCGGACGGAGGGAGUAUGAG
rfam:Triticum aestivum genome assembly, contig: Triticum_aestivum_CS42_TGACv1_scaffold_578576_7BL